AAUGUUUAACCGUAUGCAUCCAAUUACUUAAUAAUCUUCAAAGAUCUUCAAAGGUGUAUGUGAUAACGGAAUCACUGAGCAGUAAGCGUUAAUUCACAUUUAUAUGUAUAAAAUAUUUGAAAACAUUUCGAAAAACCUUAGAUAACUUGAAAAGCUGUAUUACUUAAUAAAAAGUCGACAUAUCGUGGUUUAAGAAGAACAAGGUUGUUGAGAUGGCUACUUCAGCAGAACCGGAUAUGGUUGGAUUGCCCCAGGAAUAUACCGAUCUUUCUGUUAGUGCGCUGGAGAUGAAGACGCUGAUGAAGCUUGCAAGUUAUCUAGAUAGAAAAGGAAAACUGUUGAAUAUUGAAAUCGACAACACUUCUACGGACAUUAUGAAUGACUUCACUGGUCUCGCAAAACUGGCAGGUCAAACAGACUAUCUGGAUACCGUCAAAUUUCAGUAACUGGAAGCUUCAAGGCGACAGAACUUUUCAGAAAUUAUGAAAAUGUUUGGGAAAACAAAAACAAGAGUGCCAUGUCAAGCAUGAAAACACAGCUUCACAUAAACCCAGAACAAAUGCUAUAUGAGUCCAGAACCAGAAAUGAUAUUCUUCGGGACCUAAACACAAAUUUGGAUGAAGAACUCGCGCCCAACUCGUGUCUUUAAAAAAAGAAAUAUUUCAACGUUCAAUUAUUUCCAGAAAUCUUAAUCUGUAUUUACUGAUAUGACAUUAUGUGUAUAUUGUACUCUCAAUAUUAUAAAAAAACUCUGAAUAAAUAUGAAUGUUCUUAAUGUUUUA